AACGCGAAGAACCUUACCUGGGCUCGAAAUGCAGGAGGCCGGGGUAGAAAUAUCCCUUUUCGCAAGAACCGCUGCGGAGGUGCUGCAUGGCUGUCGUCAGCUCGUGUCGUGAGAUGUUGGGUUAAGUCCCGCAACGAGCGCAACCCUUAUCGUUAGUUGCCAACACGUAAGGUGGGGACUCUAAUGAGACUGCCUAGGUUAACUAGGAGGAAGGCGAGGAUGACGUCAAGUCCGCGUGGCCUUUAUGUCCAGGGCUACACACGUGCUACAAUGGUCGGUACAGAGGGCUGCAAGACCGUAAGGUGGAGCAAAUCCCAGAAAGCCGAUCUCAGUUCAGAUUGUGGACUGCAACUCGUCCACAUGAAGUCGGAAUUGCUAGUAAUGGCGCGUCAGCAACAGCGCCGUGAAUACGUUCCCGGGCCUUGUACACACCGACGCGUA
rnacentral:rRNA from 1 species